ACCUGGGACCCACCCGUCAGACCUUUCCCCAUCCUCUGGCUCCGCCUCCCCGAGCAUGGCAGUGCAGCCCUGCCGGCGCGGCCAGCAACACCGCGCGAUGAGAGCCGGCGGGCUCCUCCGCCUCCCGUCGCACAGAUCCGCACCGGACCGACUCCUGCUUCCCGAGCAUACAAGCCUUCCUCUCACUCUCUCGCGUGACCUCGCCUGUAGCAGCACGCGCUCCCGCCGAGUCGGCUAGCCCCCCUUUACAAAAGCAGAGGCCGGCCGAGCACCUGCGCCUCGUUCCCCUCCCCUGUAUCACUUUCCCAACUCCCAUCCACUCUCGGAUACCCCCGGAGGCGAUGCCCGAAUCGGAAUCGGGUCCCCCGCCACGCCGCCCAUUUCCCCGACCGGCUCCCGCACCGGAGAUCGAGAUCGUCGCCGUCUUCCCCACCGCCGGCAGAAAUCGCGAGCUUUGGUGAGGUUCUGCACAUACUCUUCGCUGCAAUAGCAUCAUGUUGGCUGGCCUCCUGUGCUCCCUUUCCAACCAAAAUGUUUCCCUGACCACGCGGCAUCACCGGCACACCACCCUAUACUGGUAUGAGUGCCAAGCAUAUAUGCACGGGGGUUCAAUUUCUUAUAUCCCCAAGCCGCCUGGCCAGUUCCUCGACGGCUGUGGCACCGAACCGUCAAAGUUCAUGGAUAUGCCAUUCUAUGGUUCUUAUGGAAGUAUGGAACAUCGACUCUUAUCAUUGAUUGCAAAUUUGUUUGUUGCUAUCAGUGAUAUGAUAAUAUUGACUCUUUUCAAGAAAUACAACGGGAGACAAACAAAUUUGUUUAAGCA